GGAGCUGUGGCUCAGCGGGUAAAGCUGCCGCCUGCAGUGCCGGCAUCCCGUAUGGCUGCCGGUUCGAGUCCCAGCUGCUCCU
rnacentral:tRNA from 1 species